CAAUAGCGUAUAUUAAAGUUGUUGCAGUUAAAAGCUCGUAGUUGAAUUUCUGGUCAAUUUUGGUUUCGGCUUCGGUCGGGCUAAGGUUGGUCAUCCGUUUGCAAGCUGCUCUCGGCCUUUACUGGUUCGGGGUAGUGAGCUGACAAUUUACUUUGAAAAAUUAGAGUGUUUCAGGCAGGCUUUUGCCCGAAUACAUUAGCAUGGAAUAAUGGAAUUGGACUCUGGUCCAUUUGGUUGGUUAUUGGAUCUGAGUAAUGGUUAAUAGGGACAGUUGGGGGCAUUAGUAUUUAAUUGUCAGAGGUGAAAUUCUUGGAUUUAUUAAAGACUAACUUAUGCGAAAGCAUUUGCCAAGGAUGUUUUCAUUAAUCAAGAACGAAAGUUAGGGGAUCAAAGAUGAUCAGAUACCA
rnacentral:rRNA from 1 species